AUACGAGGGGUGCAAGCGUUAAUCGGAAUUACUGGGCGUAAAGCGUUCGUAGGCGGUUUGUUAAGCAAGAUGUGAAAGCCCUGGGCUCAACCUGGGAACUGCAUUUUGAACUGGCAAGCUAGAAUACUGUAGAGGGUGGUGGAAUUUCCAGUGUAGCGGUGAAAUGCGUAGAGAUUGGAAGGAACAUCGGUGGCGAAGGCGGCCACCUGGACAGAUAUUGACGCUGAGGAACGAAAGCGUGGGGAGCGAACAGGAUUAGAAACCCCAGUAGUCC
rnacentral:rRNA from 1 species